GACGAACGCUGGCGGCGUGCUUAACACAUGCAAGUCGAACGGAAAGGCCCUGCUUUUGUGGGGUGCUCGAGUUGCGAACGGGUGAGUAACACGUGAGUAACCUGCCCUUGACUUUGGGAUAACUUCAGGAAACUGUGGCUAAUACCGGAUAGUAGCUCCUGCUGCAUGGUGUGUGUUUGAAAGUUUCGGCGGUUUGGGAUGGAUUGGCGGCUUAUCAGCUUUUUGGUGUGGUAGUGGCUUACCAAGGCUUUGACGGGUAGCCGGCCUGAGAGGGUGACCGGGCACAAGGGGACUGAGAGAGGGACCAGAAUCGAACGGGAGGCAGCAGUGGGGAAGAUUGCACAAGGGGGGGAAGCCAGAGGCAGAAAUGUUGGGAGCGGGAUGACGGGCUUCGGAUUGAAAACCGGUUUGGCUCAUGAAGAAGCAUUGUGUGACGGUAGUGGAUAAAGAAGCAACGGCUAACUACGUG
rnacentral:rRNA from 1 species